UACGUAGGGGGCGAGCGUUGUCCGGAUUUAUUGGGCGUAAAGAGCUCGUAGGCGGUUCGAUAAGUCGGACGUGAAAUCUCCACGCUCAACGUGGAGGGGCCGUUCGAUACUGUCGUGACUCGAGUCCGGUAGGGGAGUGUGGAAUUCCCGGUGUAGCGGUGAAGUGCGCAGAGAUCGGGAGGAACACCCGUAGCGAAGGCGGCACUCUGGGCCGGUACUGACGCUGAGGAGCGAAAGCGUGGGGAGCAAACAGG
rnacentral:rRNA from 1 species